GACGAACGCUGGCAGCGUGCUUAACACAUGCAAGUCGAACGGAAAGGCCCUGCUUUUGUGGGGUGCUCGAGUGGCGAACGGGUGAGUAACACGUGAGUAACCUGCCCUUGACUUUGGGAUAACUUCAGGAAACUGGGGCUAAUACCGGAUAGGAGCUCCUGCUGCAUGGUGGGGGUUGGAAAGUUUCGGCGGUUGGGGAUGGACUCGCGGCUUAUCAGCUUGUUGGUGGGGUAGUGGCUUACCAAGGCUUUGACGGGUAGCCGGCCUGAGAGGGUGACCGGCCACAUUGGGACUGAGAUACGGCCCAGACUCCUACGGGAGGCAGCAGUGGGGAAUAUUGCACAAUGGGCGGAAGCCUGAUGCAGCAACGCCGCGUGCGGGAUGACGGCCUUCGGGUUGUAACCCGCUUUCGCCUGUGACGAAGCGUGAGUGACGGUAAUGGGUAAAGAAGCACCGGCUAACUACGUG
rnacentral:rRNA from 1 species